GAAAAAAAAAACUAUCAGACGAACAAAUAACCGCAGUGGAUGAUCCAUUUCAGUUAAUUGUUUAUGGACGAGUUCGAAAAACAUCACGAUUCAGUUUAUUUUCUUAUCGUAGCCGUUAGUGCUUGUGUUCAAAUAAAUAUAUAUCCAACUUUUCUCUCUACAGCGCCGAAACUAAAGCCAUCGAUGACAGCGACAGCACUCUCUUCAGCAACAAGGACGGACAACCUCAUCCCUGGUGGGCGCUAGACCUUCUCGGAGUCAACCUCAUUCACACUGUGGAGAUCCUGCCCAUCUCCUACGGCUUUGGGAGAUUCAACGACAUCGGGGUCUUCAUUGGUACACAGCUCCCGACCAACGGGGACUUCACCACAUGGCCUAUGUUGGACCACUACCAAGGGCCCUACACAUCACAGGAAGGGCGCCUUAACUUCACCUGCACGGACCAGCUCUCAGGCCGCUAUGUGGCUGUUCAAAGAGUCUCCAUCACGUCUGAGAAACUGGAAUUAAGGGAUGUCAAGGUAUACGUCAUACGUUACCCUGCCUAGAACAAAAAACAAUAACAAUUCCUUGGAGAAGAACCUGCAGAGAACAUGACCUUGGGGAUAUGAGUUUAGUCUGAUCUGUAUUCGGCCCUGUUUGGAAUGCCGUGCGACUUUUGUCGCAAUAGAUCAGUCUAGUCAGAAGAUUAAAAGUAAAUGCACACUGAUUCGCUUA